AUGUGGUUACUCCCUGCUGAAACUAAGAACGUGACACUGGCAUUCAAUCAACAGCAGUGUGGGCAGCGUUUGCGAGGUCAGGGUGCCAAUAUGGCUUAUUACAGUUUAAGAGGCAUUUUUCGCAAUGACAGUGAGAGAGGUUUCUAUUUUCUUUCUUUUGUUUCCCUGGCUGUUUCUACUUUUCUGUUCUCCCCUCCUGCCAGCGUGACUCACAAAAAUGAGAUGAUGGUGGUGUUGGCUGGUUUACUGUCUGUUUGUAGUUUGGUUGUCGUAGUUCAGUUCAGUUUAAGAAGCUUUUGUCGCAACCACAGUGAGAGGGGUUUCUAUUUUCUUUAUUUUGUUUCCGUGGCUGUUUCUGCUUUUCUUUUGGUAGUUUGGUUGUUGUAG
rnacentral:rRNA from 1 species